GAUGAACGCUGACAGAAUGCUUAACACAUGCAAGUCAUUGGCCAAGCUGCGCUUGCGCAGUCUAGCCAAGGCGGACGGGUGAGUAACGCGUAAGGAACUUGCCCUGCAGACAUGUAUAACAGGCGGAAACGACUGAUAACACCCGGUAUUGUCAGACUGCCUCCUGCCGGCCUGAUGAAAGGGGACGCUGAAGGAGAGCCUUGCGUCCUAGUAGCUAGUUGGUGGGGUAACGGCCCACCAAGCCGAGGAUACGUAGCAGGCUUGAGAGGGUGAACGGCCACAAGGGGACUGAGAGACGGCCCUGACGACUACGGGAGGCAGCAGUGGGGAAUAUUGGACAAUGGGGGCAACCCUGAUGCAGCAAUUCUGUGUGCACGAAGAAGGUUUUGGGAGUGAAAAGUGCUUUCAGCAGGGAAGAAGAAAGUGACGGUACCUGCAGAAGAAGCGACGGCUAAAUACGUG
rnacentral:rRNA from 1 species